GUAGUCUGCAACCCGACUACAUGAAGCUGGAAUCGCUAGUAAUCGCGGAUCAGAAUGCCGCGGUGAAUACGUUCCCGGGUCUUGUACACACCGCCCGUCACACCAUGGGAGUCGGAAAUGCCCGAAGUCUGUGACCCAACCUACGGGAGGGAGCAGCCGAAGGCAGGUCGGAUGACUGGGGUGAAGUCGUAACAAGGUACC
rnacentral:rRNA from 1 species